CGAAACCGAUAGCGAACAAGUACCGUGAGGGAAAGUUGAAAAGUACUCUGAAUAGAGAGUUAAAUAGUACGUGAAACCGCUUAGGGGUUAAGCCCGAUGAACCCGAAUAUCUGAUGUGAGAAAUUCAAUAUUGUUCAUUUUUAAUGGAUAGUAUGCACUUUUCUCAUAGUAAGACAUUGUAAUCCAUUGAUGCUAUAUCUCUUUCAUUUAUUGGAUGAGAUGAUUUAACAUACGGACAAGAUGUAUAUGAUUAUUCUAUCAGUGAUGUGUUUACAUGUCAUAUGAAUAAGAUCGUUUUGUACCUGUUUAAAUAGUCGAUGGAUUUUAACUGAAUCAUGCUUGCAAUUUAUUUUGCGUUUCGUGUUAUCGGCCAUUUUGGUUGGUAAUAGCAGAAAUGGCAUGCAUUCGAUUAACAAUGCGAUAGAUUUGGGAUACUUUCAGGA
rnacentral:rRNA from 1 species